rnacentral:rRNA from 1 species
UACGUAGGGGGCUAGCGUUGUCCGGAAUCAUUGGGCGUAAAGAGCGUGUAGGCGGUCCGGUAAGUCCGCUGUGAAAGUCGGGGGCUCAACCCUCGAAUGCCGGUGGAUACUGUCGGGCUAGAGUCCGGAAGAGGCGAGUGGAAUUCCCGGUGUAGCGGUGAAAUGCGCAGAUAUCGGGAGGAACACCAAUUGCGAAGGCAGCUCGCUGGGACGUCACUGACGCUGAGACGCGAAAGCGUGGGGAGCAAACAGGG